GACCUGCCACUGGCCCUCCCUUCCUUGACACCCAGUUUUGUGGCCUGUCCACACGUGGGAAAGGAGCUUCCCCUUGCCUCUUGUUGCAUGUGGCUUAACUCAGUUCUGUUCUUGCUAUUCUCUGCCCACCAUCUCUGCAGUGUCUACCCUGCUCCCCCAGUCCUGCCCCAGCCCCAGCCCCUUCUGGCAUCCUGCUGGGAGAGGUCUCUGAGAGUGGAUCAUGGGGACCCUGGACAGUUUCUAAGCAUCCUUGCCCCACCCCCCACCCCCGUAGGGGUCUAGGGGCCGUGGAGGUGUGGGGGGGGGAUGCAUUUCGUGGGUUUGGGCGCGGCUUCCUGACCCGUGCUGGGCGGGGCGCCCGCAGGGGCAGGUUCUUCGGGUCUGGGCCUGGCGCCCAGCGGGCGGAGGAGGAUGUGGCAAGCUGAGCCGGGCCCUUUCGCACGGGCUGGGAGCAGGACUUGCUGUAUGAUCCCUGGACGACCGAGGGCGCCUAGGGCUCAUGGCUGCAUCAGGCACCCGGGGGGCGGGCGGCGCCUUCUACCGUCAGAGGGAGGUUGUGUUAGAGCUGCCGCGAUGGCUGGACGGGGGCUGCGAGCGUGCACGCAGGGGCUACCUCUACGGACAGCUGUGCUGCGUAGGUGGGUGCACCCUUAGCUUGCUGGGCUGAAGGGACUGGGCGGCAGAAGCUCUCACCAGGUGGGGCCGGGGAUAGGGGUCGGGUCUGGCCCAGGUGCAGCCCCGCCUCCGAGCUCCGGAAACACCUGGGGAAGGAGGCGGAAACACUUGGGGGAGGAAGGCGUGGGGCGGGGUGAUGAAGUCCAUGCUGGU
rnacentral:lncRNA from 1 species